CCUACGGGAGGCAGCAGUGGGGAAUUUUGGACAAUGGGCGCAAGCCUGAUCCAGCCAUGCCGCGUGUGGGAAGAAGGCCUUCGGGUUGUAAACCACUUUUGUCAGGGAAGAAACGGUUCUUACUAAUAUUAGGAACUAAUGACGGUACCUGAAGAAUAAGCACCGGCUAACUACGUGCCAGCAGCCGCGGUAAUACGUAGGGUGCAAGCGUUAAUCGGAAUUACUGGGCGUAAAGCGUGCGCAGGCGGCUUUGCAAGACAGAUGUGAAAUCCCCGGGCUCAACCUGGGAACUGCAUUUGUGACUGCAUGGCUAGAGUACGGUAGAGGGGGAUGGAAUUCCGCGUGUAGCAGUGAAAUGCGUAGAUAUGCGGAGGAACACCGAUGGCGAAGGCAAUCCCCUGGACCUGUACUGACGCUCAUGCACGAAAGCGUGGGGAGCAAACAGGAUUAGAUACCCUGGUAGUCCACGCCCUAAACGAUGUCAACUGGUUGUUGGACGGCUUGCUGUUCUAGUAACGAAGACGUACGCGUGAGUAGACCGCCGNGGGUAAGGUACGGCCGCGAGUAGUUAACGUUACGAANAGAGUUGNGGCGNGAGAGNGCGACGGACGACGACGAGGGAGGAGG
rnacentral:rRNA from 1 species